rnacentral:rRNA from 1 species
AGCAGCCGCGGUAAUUCCAGCUCCAAUAGCGUAUAUUAAAGUUGUUGCAGUUAAAAAGCUCGUAGUUGAAUUUCGGGAUUAAUAUGUUGGUCGUGCCUUGGUACGUACUGGCAUUAUUGGUUCCUACCUUCUGAAGAACCUCGAUGUCAUUAAUUUGGUGUCUUGGGGAAUCAGGACUGUUACUUUGAAAAAAUUAGAGUGUUUAAAGCAGGCUCGCGCUUGAAUACAUUAGCAUGGAAUAAUGAAAUAGGACGUUUGAUUCUAUUUUGUUGGUUUCUAGGAUCGACGUAAUGAUUAAUAGGGAUAGUUGGGGGCAUUAGUAUUCAAUUGUCAGAGGUGAAAUUCUUGGAUUUAUUGAAGACUAACUACUGCGAAAGCAUUUGCCAAGGAUGUUUUCAUUAAUCAAGAACGAAAGUUAGGGGAUCGAAGACGAUCAGAUACCGUCGUAGUCUUAACCAUAAACUAUGCCGACUAGGGAUCGGAUGAUGUUAAUUUUUUAAUGACUCAUUCGGCGCCUUACG